rnacentral:rRNA from 1 species
CACGUAGGGCGCAAGCGUUGUCCGGAAUUAUUGGGCGUAAAGAGCUCGUAGGCGGUUUGUCGCGUCUGCUGUGAAAACGCGGGGCUCAACUCCGCGCCUGCAGUGGGUACGGGCAGACUAGAGUGCAGUAGGGGAGACUGGAAUUCCUGGUGUAGCGGUGGAAUGCGCAGAUAUCAGGAGGAACACCAGCGGCGAAGGCGGCAAACUGGAUAGGCACUGACACUCAACAACGAAAGCGUGGGGAGCAAACAGG